GCGCCGUUGGGCUAAUCGGCAAGCCACCCGCCUAUGGCGCGGGAAACAUCCAGGUUCGAGUCCUGGACGGUGCGC
rnacentral:tRNA from 1 species